rnacentral:rRNA from 1 species
UACGAAGGGGGCUAGCGUUGCUCGGAAUCACUGGGCGUAAAGCGCACGUAGGCGGAUUGUUAAGUCAGGGGUGAAAUCCUGGAGCUCAACUCCAGAACUGCCUUUGAUACUGGCGACCUUGAGUCCGGGAGAGGUGAGUGGAACUGUGAGUGUAGAGGUGAAAUUCGUAGAUAUUCGCAAGAACACCAGUGGCGAAGGCGGCUCACUGGCCCGGUACUGACGCUGAGGUGCGAAAGCGUGGGGAGCAAACAGG